rnacentral:rRNA from 1 species
GAUGAACGCUGGCGGCGUGCCUAAUACAUGCAAGUCGAGCGAACGGACGAGAAGCUUGCUUCUCUGAUGUUAGCGGCGGACGGGUGAGUAACACGUGGAUAACCUACCUAUAAGACUGGGAUAACUUCGGGAAACCGGAGCUAAUACCGGAUGAUAUUUUGAACCGCAUGGUUCAAAAGUGAAAGACGGUCUUGCUGUCACUUAUAGAUGGUUCCGCGCUGCAUUAGCUAGUUGGUAAGGUAACGGCUUACCAAGGCAACGAUGCAUAGCCGACCUGAGGGGGUGAUAGGCCGCACUGGAACUGAGCCACGGUCCAGACUCCUGCGGGAGGCAGCAGUAGGGAAUCUUCCGCAAUGGGCGAAAGCCUGACGGAGCAACGCCGCGUGAGUGAUGACGGUCUUCGGAUCGUAAAACUCUGUUAUUAGUGAAGAACAUAUGUGUAAGUAACUGUGCACAUCUUGACGGUACCUAAUCAGAAAGCCACGGCUAACUACGUG